rnacentral:snRNA from 1 species
AUCGCUUCUUGGCCUUUUGGCUAAGAUCAAUUGUAGUAUCUGUUCUUAUCAGUUUAAUAUAUGAGGUCUAUUUCAGUGCAAUAGUUUCAGAGGUUCAUCCACUUUCUUGGACUCCAGAACUUCUAAAGCCAUGAAAACUUGAA